UAAACAAUGAGAACAGCAAUUAUGGCAGGGUGAACAUUACCAGACUUGCAAUAACAGAGUAAGAUCGCACCGAGUAUUAAAGCUAGAGACCUGUAAGCGUUAGCUCUCUUACCACUUCCCAGAACAAGCUCAUCUGGACAGCUA